rnacentral:tRNA from 1 species
GGGGUUGGAGCUCAGUGGUAGAGUGCUUGCCUAGCAUGCAUGAAGCCCUGGGUUCAAUCCCCAGCAAACCCC